AGUAUUAUGAUUUCAGAAAAUUUUAGUAUCGGUUGAUGAUCUGGAUUUUGUAAAUGAGAAGUGAUGUUGAUUUUUGAUCUUGUAUCGAGAAGCAAAGGAUCAAUUAGUGAUGAUUGGGAUUUGGAUGUCGAUUGAUUAUUGAGGCCGAUUGUUGAAAGCGAGAUGGUCAAAGCCUGAAUUGAUUGAAGUAAAAAGUGAGUUCGCAAGUUUGGAAUUGAAAAACUAUGUUGAUUUUGGGGUUCCUGUAAUGAAAAGAAUGAAGAACGAUUGUUGUGAUUGGAGUCGAUUUUGAAAUUGAGUAUUGUUCGCAUUUUGUAUGAUUGGAGUCGAUGAUCUGUAAAAGAAAAUUGGAUUUUGGAUUCGCAAUUGGAUUGAUGAUUGAGGGACGAUUCGUNUUGAUGAUUGGGGACGAUUCGUGAAGAAAAAUGCGAAAUCAAGAAGGACUGUGAAUCAAUAUUGGAGUUAAAAGCAGUUCACAUGUAAAAGCAAAAGUAUUCGCAUUUGGGUGUGUCAAACAUGGUUCGUAUAUGAUGACUGGGAAGUUUCAUUCGCAUUUGGAGUUUUGUAUUGGAGUCAAAAUGCGAAUUCAUCUCUUUAUGAUUCGCAUUUUGGUGAGUUAAACAUGCGAAACAUUAAGAUGCGAAGUCUGUGAUUUGGGAAAGAACACAAAGCUUUUACAGUAAAAUGCGAAUUGGGGAAGAAACACACAUAUUUCGCAUUUGGUCCCUGCUCUUUUCAAGAAAUAACACAAGUAGCCCAACUUCGCAAGUUUAAAGAACAUAC
rnacentral:lncRNA from 1 species